ACAAGCCAGCUGGAUCAGACCAGAGUCCAUCUAGUCCAGCUCUCUGCUACUCGCAAUGGCCCACCAGGUGCCUUUGGGAGCUCACAUGCAGGAUGUGAAAGCAAUGGCCUUCUGCGGCUGCUUCUCCUGAGUACCUGGACUGCUGGGACAUUUGCCAUCUCAGAUCAAGGAGGAUCAAGAUUGGGAG